UGUGUUGUUGGGUAGGGGAGCGUUCUGUAAGCCUGUGAAGGUGUGUCGUGAGGCAUGCUGGAGGUAUCAGAAGUGCGAAUGCUGACAUAAGUAACGAUAAAGCGGGUGAAAAGCCCGCUCGCCGGAAGACCAAGGGUUCCUGUCCAACGUUAAUCGGGGCAGGGUGAGUCGACCCCUAAGGCGAGGCCGAAAGGCGUAGUCGAUGGGAAACGGGUUAAUAUUCCCGUACUUGGUGUUACUGCGAAGGGGGGACGGAGAAGGCUAUGUUGGCCGGGCGACGGUUGUCCCGGUUUAAGCGUGUAGGUGUGUGUUCCAGGUAAAUCCGGUUCACUUUAACACUGAGGCGUGACGACGAGGCACUACGGUGCUGAAGCAACAAAUGCCCUGCUUCCAGGAAAAGCCUCUAAGCAUCAGGUAACACGAAAUCGUACCCCAAACCGACACAGGUGGUCAGGUAGAGAAUACCAAGGCGCUUGAGAGAACUCGGGUGAAGGAACUAGGCAAAAUGGUGCCGUAACUUCGGGAGAAGGCACGCUGACACGUAGGUGAAGUGAUUUACUCAUGGAGCUGAAGUCAGUCGAAGAUACCAGCUGGCUGCAACUGUUUAUUAAAAACACAGCACUGUGCAAACACGAAAGUGGACGUAUACGGUGUGACGCCUGCCCGGUGCCGGAAGGUUAAUUGAUGGGGUCAGCGCAAGCGAAGCUCCUGAUCGAAGCCCCGGUAAACGGCGGCCGUAACUAUAACGGUCCUAAGGUAGCGAAAUUCCUUGUCGGGUAAGUUCCGACCUGCACGAAUGGCGUAAUGAUGGCCAGGCUGUCUCCACCCGAGACUCAGUGAAAUUGAACUCGCUGUGAAGAUGCAGUGUACCCGCGGCAAGACGGAAAGACCCCGUGAACCUUUACUAUAGCUUGACACUGAACAUUGAGCCUUGAUGUGUAGGAUAGGUGGGAGGCUUUGAAGUGUGGACGCCAGUCUGCAUGGAGCCGACCUUGAAAUACCACCCUUUAAUGUUUGAUGUUCUAACGUGGACCCGUGAUCCGGGUUGCGGACAGUGUCUGGUGGGUAGUUUGACUGGGGCGGUCUCCUCCUAAAGAGUAACGGAGGAGCACGAAGGUUGGCUAAUCCUGGUCGGACAUCAGGAGGUUAGUGCAAUGGCAUAAGCCAGCUUGACUGCGAGCGUGACGGCGCGAGCAGGUGCGAAAGCAGGUCAUAGUGAUCCGGUGGUUCUGAAUGGAAGGGCCAUCGCUCAACGGAUAAAAGGUACUCCGGGGAUAACAGGCUGAUACCGCCCAAGAGUUCAUAUCGACGGCGGUGUUUGGCACCUCGAUGUCGGCUCAUCACAUCCUGGGGCUGAAGUAGGUCCCAAGGGUAUGGCUGUUCGCCAUUUAAAGUGGUACGCGAGCUGGGUUUAGAACGUCGUGAGACAGUUCGGUCCCUAUCUGCCGUGGGCGCUGGAGAACUGAGGGGGGCUGCUCCUAGUACGAGAGGACCGGAGUGGACGCAUCACUGGUGUUCGGGUUGUCAUGCCAAUGGCACUGCCCGGUAGCUAAAUGCGGAAGAGAUAAGUGCUGAAAGCAUCUAAGCACGAAACUUGCCCCGA
rnacentral:rRNA from 2 species